rnacentral:rRNA from 1 species
GAUGAACGCUGGCGGCACGCCUAACACAUGCAAGUCGAACGGACCGCGUAACUUUGAAACUUCGGUUGAUAAGUUGCAUUUGGUUAGUGGCAAACGGGUGAGGAAUACAUAGGUAAUCUACCUCUAAGUCUGGGAUAACAUUUCGAAAGGAAUGCUAAUACCGGAUAUACUCUUUGAUCACAUGAUCGUAAGAGGAAAGGUUUACUGCUUAGAGAGGGGCCUAUGUCCGAUUAGUUUGUUGGUGAGGUAAUGGCUCACCAAGGCUACGAUCGGUAGCUGGUCUGAGAGGACGAUCAGCCACACUGGGACUGAGACACGGCCCAGACUCCUACGGGAGGCAGCAGUGAGGAAUAUUGCGCAAUGGACGAAAGUCUGACGCAGCGAUGCCGCGUGAGUGAUGACGCCUUUCGGGGUGUAAAGCUCUGUCAAGAGGGAAGAUUAUGACGGUACCUCUAAAGGAAGCAACGGCUAAUUACG